UCUUCUUGCUGAAUAUGCAGGCUGAUGGAGUUGGGUCACAGUUUCUACAGAAGUUAGCACACAGCACUAUUCACCAAGGGACUACCACAGUGGCCAAUGCACAGCUGUUAAUGCUUGCUAACUCACUGAUGAACUGACAGACUGAAUGGAAAAAAAAAAAGUGAAUGAAUGGGUUUGGAAAGAGGAGUCCCACAGACUACCAUGGGAGGUGAAAAGACCUUAUAAUCUCCCAGGAAUUAUGUGGUUAAGAUCUACAGUUGUGCUCUGGCUGGAGAAAUGAGAGAAAGAGGU
rnacentral:lncRNA from 10 species